rnacentral:rRNA from 1 species
UACGUAGGGUGCGAGCGUUGUCCGGAAUUAUUGGGCGUAAAGAGCUUGUAGGCGGUCUGUCGCGCCUGCUGUGAAAAUCCGGGGCUCAACCCCGGACUUGCAGUGGGUACGGGCAGACUAGAGUGUGGUAGGGGAGACUGGAAUUCCUGGUGUAGCGGUGAAAUGCGCAGAUAUCAGGAGGAACACCGAUGGCGAAGGCAGCUCUCUGGGACGGUACUGACGCUGAGACGCGAAAGCGUGGGGAGCGAACAGG